UUGAGCAGUCUAACAGUGUGUUUGGUGUGUAUGAACAAUAUACUAGGCCUGUGGAAUUAUCUGCAACUUAACCUAGUAAUUCUGGUACAAUUGUGGAUGCAAGUAAUAUUACAGCACUGGAGCCAGUAGAAGUUCCAGUUUUCCAACAUCGUUUUUUUAUUCAACCAAAUGGAAUCUUUUCCACUGCCUCCUAAAUGUCAGAAACGCUUCAGGCAACAAAGGAAGGAAAUGAGAGUUUCAUUCUGAGGUGUUCAUCUACCUUUAGAAGCAGAGUGUAAUUGGCAUGGAUCCAGUGACAGAGUGGCAUUAGGCGGCCGAAUGAAGAGCUUAAUAAAGAACCGGAAGGCAGAUGGAGCUGAAUUACAUCCGUUUUAUGGUACGGAGUGAUGCAGGUCUGAUGACAACCCAGAUGAACCCUGUUUGGAUAGCUGUAAGGAUCUCAAGAAAUUAAGUAAUGAAAGAUAAUGGCUAGUUUU